GAUGAAGAACGUAGCGAAAUGCGAUAAGUAGUGUGAAUUGCAGAAUUCAGUGAAUCAUCGAAUCUUUGAACGCACAUUGCGCCUCCUGGUAUUCCGGGAGGCAUGCCUGUUCGAGCGUCAUUAAAAUCACUCAAGCUUAGGUUUACCUAUUGCUUGGUCUUGGAGAUGGAAGCCAAUUUAUUGGAAUCCUCUUCGAAAUUCAAUGGCGAAGACCCUUGCUCUCCCAAGUGUAGUAAUAACUUAUGUCACUGAAGGAAGCGAGAAAUCUUCUGCCGUAACCCCCAUAUUUUCUAUGAUUGACCUCGGAUCAGGUAGGGAUACCCGCUGAACUUAAGCAUAUCAAUAACGGAGGA
rnacentral:misc_RNA from 1 species